rnacentral:tRNA from 1 species
GCAGUGGUGGUUCAGUGACAGAAUUCCCACCUUUCAUGCACAAGACCCAGGUUCGACUCCUGGCUAGUGCA